GACGAACGCUGGCGGCGUGCCUAAUACAUGCAAGUAGAACGCUGAAGGAGGAGCUUGCUUCUCUGGAUGAGUUGCGAACGGGUGAGUAACGCGUAGGUAACCUGCCUGGUAGCGGGGGAUAACUAUUGGAAACGAUAGCUAAUACCGCAUAAUAGUAGAUGUUGCAUGACAUUUGCUUAAAAGGUGCAACUGCAUCACUACCAGAUGGACCUGCGUUGUAUUAGCUAGUUGGUGGGGUAACGGCUCACCAAGGCGACGAUACAUAGCCGACCUGAGAGGGGGAUCGGCCACACUGGGACUGAGACACGGCCCAGACUCCUACGGGAGGCAGCAGUAGGGAAUCUUCGGCAAUGGACGGAAGUCUGACCGAGCAACGCCGCGUGAGUGAAGAAGGUUUUCGGAUCGUAAAGCUCUGUUGUAAGAGAAGAACGAGUGUGAGAGUGGAAAGUUCACACUGUGACGGUAUCUUACCAGAAAGGGACGGCUAACUACGUG
rnacentral:rRNA from 1 species